UUGCAUUUGAAGCCCAUGAGGAUGAGAACCUCCGGGGGCGGGGAGGUUCGACUCGAGCGAAGCGAGAGAACGUUGCGCCAGCAACGGCCCGCAGGGCGAGCCACGAAGU
rnacentral:sRNA from 2 species